CCAAUAGCGUAUAUUAAAGUUGUUACAGUUAAAAAGCUCGUAGUUGAACUUCGGGGUUUACCCAUUGGUCAGGCUUAAUUGUCUGUACUGGUGAGAUAAAUCUCUACCUUCUGAGGAACUUUCAUGUCAUUAAUUUGGUGUGAUUGGAAAUCAGGACUGUUACUUUGAAAAAAUUAGAGUGUUUAAAGCAGGCUAACGUCUGAAUACAUUAGCAUGGAAUAAUGAAAUAGGACGGACUGAUUCUAUUUCGUUGGUUUCUAGGAUCACCGUAAUGAUUAAUAGGGAUAGUUGGGGGCAUUAGUAUUCAAUUGUCAGGUGUGAAAUUCUUGGAUUUAUUGAAGACUAACUACUGCGAAAGCAUUUGCCAAGGAUGUUUUCAUUAAUCAAGAACGAAAGUUAGGGGAUCGAAGACGAUCAGAUACCGUCGUAGUCUUAACCAUAAACUAUGCCGACUAGGGAUCGGACGAAGUUAAUUUUAUAAUGACGCGUUCGGCACCUUACG
rnacentral:rRNA from 1 species